rnacentral:piRNA from 1 species
UCAAGGGCAGUCUGGAUACAUGA